AGCACUGUAGGUGUCAGCAGCCGCGGUAAGUACGUAGGGGGCAAGCGUUAUCCGGAUUUACUGGGUGUAAAGGGAGCGUAGACGGCGAAGCAAGUCUGGUGUGAAAACCCGGGGCUCAACCCCGGGCCUGCAUUGGAAACUGUUUUGCUUGAGUGCCGGAGAGGUAAGCGGAAUUCCUAGUGUAGCGGUGAAAUGCGUAGAUAUUAGGAGGAACACCAGUGGCGAAGGCGGCUUACUGGACGGCAACUGACGUUGAGGCUCGAAAGCGUGGGGAGCAAACAGGAUUAGAUACCCUGGUAGUCCACGCGGUAAACGAUGAAUACUAGGUGUUGGUGGGCAAGGCCCAUCGGUGCCGUCGCAAACGCAGUAAGUAUUCCACCUGGGGAUACGUUCGCAAGAAUGAAACUCAAAGG
rnacentral:rRNA from 1 species